UGUCCACCCCUCCGUCUGUCCGUCCAGCCUCCCCUGCUGCCGCUCACUUGCCUUGGCCAGCCUUGCAGGAGGAUAGGGCUCUCCUGCCCCCACAUUGAGCCAGGAAUCCUAGACUGGGGGUGGCCCUGAGUGCUGACUCCCAGGACAGGUCCCCCGCCCCCACUGUGGGACCCAGCUGGGGACCCAGCCCAUGCGAGGCUUUGUGCAUGUGUGUGUGAAUGUGGGGGGCGGGUGACGGCCACCCUCUGCUGCCCUGGCCCCUCAGGGGUAGGGCUGUGGGGGCCUCCAGCCGUCCCCACGUGGCCAGGCAGUGUGUGUGUGUGUGUGUGUGUGUGUGUGUGUGUGCGCAGAAGCGUGUGAGCGCGCGUGGGUGUGUGCCCUUGACUCCCCAGUGACCCCGUCCAGGAAUCAGUCUCUCCGCCCCCGGCCCUACUUCUGAGGCCACGCCCCCUCGAGGUCGGGGAGGGCGGGCAUGAGGACCAGUAUGGAGCCCGGGAGCAUCUUCUGGGGGGCACCAGGAGCUGCCCCUCCGGUCUUCCCCGGGCUUAGCCUGCCCUCCAGGCUUCUGGGUAAGGCCCCUGACCACACUUAGGAAAGCUCUGCCCUCCCCUACCCUUGAUGUUGUGACCUGAGGCAGCUCGUCCAGACCUGCUCCACCCCCAGCCACGUGGUCGUGUUGGUGAUGAUCUGAUGUGCCGGUGCUGUGGCCCCACCCCCGGGCCCCCUCCCGGAGGCCCCUUCCCAGUGACACUACCUGGGGCUCAGGCCUGGGCCCCCCAGUUCACGGUUGUUCCUGGGAGCUGCUCUCUCCCGUCACAUCUGUACCUUGGAAGCUG
rnacentral:lncRNA from 1 species